CCCAUUGCCUGCGCAUUAGCAAUGUGGUGUUAACAAAGAAUAAGAGGAGUGGAAAGUUUGCGGCCCUCUAUGGAAAAAUUCUGGACACCCCUGGCCUAAUAUGAGUACGCCUUCAAAAUGCCUAAAAUGCAUCUCCACUUUUGUCCAGAUCCUCACCAAGAGCUAAUGCUCUCCUCGUCUGUGACGUUUCAUUCAGGUUUGUAACUGCGACACACUGCACGUGCAGGUAUGGUUUGUACCAUUUGAGAAGAUGGAUCCUCUUGUUUCCCUGGAAGACCACAAAGCCCGUCGCUGUGAACCCGAGAAAAGCUGUGGAGCCCGUGAAGUCCUACACACACACACACACAAACACAGAAAGGGGGACAGUGGCCUACCACUUAACAAUCCUCAUGGCUAUCACACCUACAUCAUAUUUCUACAUGUUUAAUCCAAACAUCCACCUCUUGCUGUUUUUAUUUCAUCCUUAGCCCACAGAUCUUUAGCAGCGAUGCAACAACUUGUCACGAUUCCAGCAAUCCAAUUUUAGAAACAUCCUGUCUCAUUCGUUA